rnacentral:ribozyme from 1 species
UGCCCAGCAACUCCUAUCCCUACCUCCUCGCGGUACCGGCCGGCAAGAUCGGGUAACCAACCCCGGUGGGAACUUUGGUCGUAGGCUGACAGGGAAGG